rnacentral:rRNA from 1 species
GUCUAUGGCCAUACCACCCUGAAUGAGCCGCCCAAUCUCGUCUGUACUCGGAAGCUAAGCAGGGUCGGGCCUGGUUAGUACUUGGAUGGAAGAGGCCAUCUGUAGCUU